GGUCCUGUGGCGCAAUAGGUUAACGCUCCCGACUUCUGAUCGGAGGAUUCCAGGUUCGAGUCCUGGCAGGAUCG
rnacentral:tRNA from 1 species